UGGGCGUUUGGCAGAACGGUUAUGCUCCUGACUCUUAAUCAGGCUGACACAGGUUCGACCCCUGUAGCGCCCAUC
rnacentral:tRNA from 1 species